rnacentral:rRNA from 1 species
AGUGAACGCUGGCGGCAGGCCUAAUACAUGCAAGUCGAACGGCAGCACAGCAGAGCUUGCUCUGUGGGUGGCGAGUGGCGGACGGGUGAGGAAUACAUGGGAAUCUGCCCAGUCGUGGGGGAUAACGUAUGGAAACGUACGCUAAUACCGCAUGCGCCCUACGGGGGAAAGUCGGGGACCGCAAGGCCUGACGCGAUUGGAUGAGCCCAUGUUCGAUUAGCUAGUUGGCGGGGUAAAGGCCCACCAAGGCGACGAUCGAUAGCUGGUCUGAGAGGAUGAUCAGCCACACUGGAACUGAGACACGGUCCAGACUCCUACGGGAGGCAGCAGUAGGGAAUAUUGGACAAUGGGGGCAACCCUGAUCCAGCCAUGCCGCGUGAGUGAAGAAGGCCCUCGGGUUGUAAAGCUCUUUUGUUGGGGAAGAAACCGGCCGGGUUAAUACCCUGGUUGAAUGACGGUACCCAAAGAAUAAGCACCGGCUAACUUCGUGCCAGC